rnacentral:rRNA from 1 species
UAGGGAAUCUUCGGCAAUGGACGAAAGUCUGACCGAGCAACGCCGCGUGAGUGAAGAAGGUUUUCGGAUCGUAAAACUCUGUUGUUAGAGAAGAACAAGGACGUUAGUAACUGAACGUCCCCUGACGGUAUCUAACCAGAAAGCCACGGCUCACUACGUGCCAGCAGCCGCGGUAAUACGUAGGUGGCAAGCGUUGUCCGGAUUUAUUGGGCGUAAAGCGAGCGCAGGCGGUUUCUUAAGUCUGAUGUGAAAGCCCCCGGCUCAACCGGGGAGGGUCAUUGGAAACUGGGAGACUUGAGUGCAGAAGAGGAGAGUGGAAUUCCAGGUGUAGCGGUGAAAUGCGUAGAUAUAUGGAGGAACACCAGUGGCGAAGGCGGCUCUCUGGUCUGUAACUGACGCUGAGGCUCGAAAGCGUGGGGAGCAAACAGG